UUCUCCAACUCCUUCCUUCAGCAAACCCUAGCCUCCACCAAAGAAAGCAAACCCUAGCCUCCACCAAUAGUUGUCCCCGUCUGUCGGAGUGAGAGACUGCUGCCGCCGUCUAUCGCACUCAAGAACUUCCGUCUUCGUGCUCUCGGGCCUCUCGCCGGAUCCUCCACGUCGGGUGCUCGCAUCUCGCCGUUCUCCUCUGUGCUCGGCUGCUCGCGCCUCCCUCCGCCAGUGAGUGCUCGAGCUGUGCGUGUUGGUUGCUGCUCGUCGUCCGUGGUUGUCUCUGCUCGAUUCUGCCUCCCAGUCUCACUCGAGUCUCGUCUCAGUCACUGGCAUCUCGUGGUUCGUCUGUCUCGUCGCCGGCGGCAGAAGCAACUCGUGGGGUUGUCUCUUGCUUCGUCGCCUUCCGUGGGGUGGUUGCCGACUCGCCGUCGACCGUUGAGACAUUUAUAGUUUUAUACAGACAAGUGGUUCUGAUUUUGGAAUCAACUAUGGACAAAUAGCCAACAAUCUUCCCUCUCCAUCACGCGUUGCUAUUCUAAAACGGUUUUUCUGGUUGAACCACCGGUUGGACUGGUUGGACCAAUAAACCAGUGAACCAGUGAUUAAAACGGUUUGAUGACCGGUCCGGUUUUCAGAACCUUGAUAAAUAUAGACACGAUUGAGUUGCAGUUACAGAAGCUCUAACUCUCAGAAAAACCGCUACAGUGUGUUGCUCUUCUUAUUCUCUCAGCAAUGGCUGAUCUCAGUGAAUUCAAGAUCGUAAAGGAAGGAGAAGCUGAGAUUCUCAUGCACAAACAGAAUGAAGUUUUCUAUAACAAAGCCCAGGUUAAUAACAGGGAUAUGUCAAUUGCUGUUUUGAGAACUUUUAUAUCCAAACGUAAGGAAGAACAUGAAGCAAAUUUGCCCAAGAAAGCUAAAAGAGCUCCAAAAGUAUCUGAAAGUGAUGCUUCUGAACCUGCCAAGGAGGAUGUCCCUCAUGCAUCUCCACCUGAAGAUUGUAGAGAUAAUGGCGAAUGUGAAGAUGGGAAUGGAAUGGCUCUUGAUGAACCGCACAAAACAGCAGAGGAGCAAGUCAAGAGCUCUGAAGAAUGCAACGGGGAAGGGGAGUCAAUGAGUAAUGCAGAUGGAAAAGUUCAGAGGGAACUGAAGCCACCAAGAGUUCUAGAGGCAUUGUCUGCUUCUGGAUUAAGGGCCCUUAGGUAUGCUCGUGAAGUGGAAGGAAUUGGUCAGGUGGUUGCUCUGGACAACGAUCAAGCUUCUGUUGACGCUUGCAGAAGGAACAUCAAAUUCAAUGGUUCAGUAGCGUGUUCAAAAGUUGAGUCUCAUCUUGCUGAUGCUCCUGUAUAUAUGCUAACCCACCCCAAAGAAUUCGACGUGGUUGAUCUUGAUCCUUGUGGUUCACCUUCCGUGUUCCUGGAUUCAGCAGUUCAAUCUGUUGCUGAUGGAGGUAUGCUGAUGUGUACGGCAACAGAUAUGGCAGUGCUCUGGGGGGAAAUGGGGAGGUCUGCUAUUCGAAAUAUGGUUCAUAUCCGCCGAGAGGAAAAUAUUGCCAUGAAAUGGCUUUGAGAAUCCUUCUCGCUUCCAUUGAGGUAUGUCUAUAAUUUAUUGUUUAAGUAAUAAGGAAUUGAGAUAGACAACUAGGAAGAUAGACAAAAUGCAUAAACCUCUUCCCAUCACUUGGCAAAUCAAAAUGAUUAAAAACACCAUCUUUAUUACUUUCUUAAUAAGCGUUGUACCAAACCCUUGUAUUUUACCAGGCCUAAUUUCAUUUUUUUUUAUCACACUAAUGAAUGUAUUUAUUUUAUAGGGUAUUAUAUCACCAAAGGUAGUGAUUUGUGAAGAUUAUUUUGGGAAUUCCAAGUAUUAGAUCACACCUAUCAUCAUUUAUUCUUACUAAUUAACACACAAAUCACACCUAUCAUCAUUUAUUCUUACUAAUUAAAACACUGAAAAUUAAAACACUGAUCUAUUGAAAAUUAAAAAUUAAAAAUUAAAACACUGAUCAACAACAAAGAAAUCUGAAUAUCAUGAGAUCAGAGUGAGACCUCAGUAAGUUGAUAAUGUUGAACAUCUCAGGCAGUAGCAAUUACACUGAAAAUUAAAACACUGAUCUACUGAAAAUUAAAAAUUAAAACACUGAUCAACAACAAAGAAAUCUGAAUAUCAUGAGAUCCAGUAAGUUGAUAUUGUUGAACAUCCCAGGCAAUAGCAAUUAGUUUCUUGAGUUGCUUCCAUGAUUCGUCAUCGGUAUGAUUGUUCGUUCCAACAGAAUUCUUGAUUCUUCUUUCCAAAUUGAAAAGAAUUUGACCGAGAAUGACCUCUACCCGAACCCUGGCGCCGUUAACCAUCGGAUUCUUCUCGGGAACAACCUCAUCCCACAAAAUAUAGCUAAGAACACAAAUAGAUCUACAAAUAUGCUUGAAAACACGAUCAAUCGUCUUAAAGUCUUCAUUGGAGUCCACCUUUUCCUUUUUCUCUUCCUUUGAUAUGAAAUCGAUGGUUGACUCCAUGACAAUAAUAAAUUUUCGAGCGAUUUUGUUGUUGAUAUUUUCUAUCAAUGUAGUCAACUUCGUCAUGACCUUGGUCAUAGUAGCGUGUUCGUCGUUAAUUUUGGACAACAGGAAGAUGUAUUGAGCUAGAACCUUUGAGAGCUUACCUGCGGCGCCAACGACUCUUAUUCGGAUCCUCGCAAAAGACGCCGAUUCAAAAGUUACGCUAUUUUUAUUGCUGUUUUCAGAAAUUGAUCAAUAGUCCUUCUUCAAUUGCUACUCUGUCAUAUUCUAACUCCAGACAAAUUUCGCUGAGCAUUCCUUCGGCUUAAUUCAAAGGUCAAUUUGAGAAUCAUUGAUCGGACAUUAGCACUUUCUUCUUCUUGGUGUUGUCUUGGUGGAAACUUAAAGAUCUAUGAAUUUACGAACCAUACUUAAAUUGUCGCGGCAGCGGGAGAUGGACCUCAGCAAAUACGGGAGGACCUUCCCCCAAGGAUCGACCUGGAUUCCAGCGUCUACUGUACAAUAUUGGAGAAAAAGGCCUUCUGGAUCAGGUGGCGGUUUUCUGACGGUUCUUCAAUGAUUUCCUCAAUAUCGGAAAGUUCCUUGAAAAUUUAUCUUUCUUCUUUUCUGCUUCUUCAGCUUCUCCGAUGACCUUAAGGUUUUCAAGCAUAUUUGUAGAUCUAUUUGUGUUCUUAGCUAUAUUUUGUGGGAUGAGGUUGUUCCCUAGAAGAAUCCGAUGGUUAACGGGGCCAGGGUUCGGGUAGAGGUCAUUCUCGGUCAAAUUCUUUUCAAUUUGGAAGGAAUCAAGAAUUCUGUUGUAACGAACAAUCAUACCAAUGACGAAGAAACUAAUUGCUACUGCCUGGGAUGUUCAACAAUAUCAACUUACUGAGGUCUCACUCUGAUCUCAUGAUAUUCAUAUUUCUUUGUUGUUGAUCAGUGUUUUAAUUUUCAGUGUAAUUGCUACUGCCUGGGAUGUUCAACAUUAUCAACUUAUUGAAGUCUCACUCUGAUCUCAUGAUAUUCAGAUUUCUUUGUUGUUGAUCAGUGUUUUAAUUUUUAAUUUUCAGUAGAUCAGUCUUUUAAUUUUCAGUGUUUUAAUUAGUAAGAAUAAAUGAUGAUAGGUGUGAUUUGUGUGUUAAUUAGUAAGAAUAAAUGAUGAUAGGUGUGAUUUAAUACUUGGAAUUCCCAAAAUAAUCUUCACAAAUCACCACCUUUGGUGAUAUAAUACCCUAUAAAAUAAAUACCUUCAUUAAUGUGAUAAAAAAAAUGAAAUUAGGCCUGGUAAAAUAUAGGGACUUGGUACAACGCUUAUUAAGAAAGUAAUAAAGAUGGUGUUUUUAAUCAUUUUGAUUUGCCAAGUGAUGGGAAGAGGUUUAUGCAUUUUGUCUAUCUUCCUAGUUGGCAAUAAGGCAGUAAUGACCAAAUCAGUUGCAUCAUCAUCAAAACUACUACCUCUGCUAUUAUCAAAAUCCUUCAAGCUUCUAAUCUUCUCCAAAGCACUUUCAUUAUCAUAAACUCCUUGCAAGGCAUACAAAAACCGCUUCCACCCACCUUCAACAACAUCUCUAUCCAAAGCAGGCAUAGUCCAUUUCACAACCACCUUCACAAAACUCUUAUUAGAAAAUAAGAAUUCGGAAACAGGUACCAAUGGCAAAAGCUGAAUCCCAAGCCUAAACUCUUUCCACGCAGGAGGAGCAAACCAUAAUCCACGGUCUCUCUUAUUAGACCAUAGAACCCCAACUAACUUGUUCUCUUUACAAAGUGUUCUUCAUACAUAUUACUAUCUCCUCCUCCAUUCACAUGCCACCACAUUUUAGCUGCAUGAAUUUCCAUGCUGCAAGAGUUGAUCCUAAUGAAACAAGUUCUGUAUCAUUAUAUGCCAAGCCCAACAAAGGCAAGUGUAUUCCAUUUAACUCUACUUUCCCUGUUGUUAGAAUAUAGAACCUCCAUUAACCUAUUCUCCUUUGUAAACUCCUCAAACUUUUCAUCAUCCCUCUUUAAAUGGCCCCACAUUUGAGCAGCAUGAAUUUCCAAUGCUGCAAGAGUUGAACCAAUAGCAACAAGAUUUGCAUCAUUAUAUGCCAAACCCAUCAACGCUGCUGAAUAAUAUGCAUUCACAGCUUCACCACUAAUCAAUUGAAAUCUUCCAACAUCACUAUCCUCUAGCCCUGAAUCCCAAGAGUGCAACAUGAACAGAUCAAAACACCUUAAACGUGUAUACUUAGAUUUUGAAUCUUUUCCUCCCAAGUUCAUGAAAUCUUCCAUGAGUGAAUAUGCUUCUGACCUAUACUUCUUACCCAAUUCGGAUCAAUCUUUGCAAGAACUGCAAUUCCAUACACAAAGUUACCUAGUUGAACAUGAUGAAGGUUGUAAACUCCAAACCCACAUUCUGCUCCUGAACUAUCAGCACCGCUUUUAGUAAUAAGCCCUCCCCGUUGCUUUUCAUACAAAAAUCCAUUCUCUCUAAAAGUGCCAUCUAACCAUGGCUGAAUGGUUUCUUUCAAGAAUUUCUUAACAAGUGAAAUCAAGUCAAGAAAACCAACUUCCUCAGCUAUCAUUGCAAACCUUGCUGCCCUUGCAAUCGAUUUGCCAUAACAAGAAGAUGAAGUAUUAGCUAUUUUUGAAGAACAAAGAGCACCAACAUCUCUACAAAGAGCUUGUUUGAUUUCAUCAUAGUAGGCUUGAUUGACACCUCUAGUAGAGUGCCAAGUUACAGGAACAUGUUCUGCUUCCAACAUCCAUGAAUCUCCAACAACGCCAACAAGGUCCCCAUCAAUACUUCGAUACUUAAAAUGUUUAAGAACACUCACAUUACCCUCAUCUUUGGACAAAAGCUGAAGAUGAAGAGGGUGAGCUAACAUCAACAAAUUACCAAGCCCUUUCUUCUGCCAUUUGUAUUCAACACAAUAUGGCUUAGUGAACAAAGCAUCUCCAGAAAGAGGGUAGCAAGAGCUGUACCUGUCAAGAACAGCCUCGUUUUCUGAGCUUAAAUCUGGCAUAACUGCAAUCCGAACCAUCACAGGAGCCUCACCAGAAGAAAUGUUGGAGAAAGCGAGUUUCAUGUCAAAGCUAAAACUAAAUAUGGUUGGUGAAGAAGUAUAGAUAAGCCAUUUCUGACCAUUCUCAAGCUGAAGAGUAUACUUAUUUGGUGAAGCAUUUGAAGAAAAAGAAGAGAUUUUAUGGAUGGAGGUUAUGGAAAGAGAUUCAUGUUGUGACAGAGAAACGGUAACAUAAGGGCUUCCCCUAACAAGGAAGAAAGUGAGAUUGGAAGAAGGAAACUCAAGAGUGACACUGAAAUCACUGAAGGAAGAUAUAACAUGGCGGGAUUGAGAAUCUUUUGGGGUAGAGAUAGUAAGAUCAGGAGUGAAGACUUGGUGGAUGGAAUGAGAGGAGACAAAGAGAGAAGGGUAGCAGAGAGAAACAGAGGAAUCAGAGGGUUUGAUGAGAUAAGGAUGAAUGUACUCUUGUAUGUUGCCAUCGUUGAGGACGAAGUUCUGGCAGAAUGAGUAUGGAGAAGAGAGAAGAUUUUCAGAGAAGAACUUUGAAGGGUCAGGGAGCACUUUGGAGUUUGUUAGUGGGAAGAGAAAAGGUUGUUCAUCAUCUAACUGUCUUGGGAAGAUCUAUAGUCUUAUCAUCAAACAAGUGAAACAACCCAUCGCUCUGUAUGCUAGGAUCCCAUUUUUCUAUAAUAAUGUCUGCUGUGAAUCCACCACAAGAGAUUGCUCAAUGUGUUGCCAGCAUCAAAACGCUUUAAGCUUCUAAUCUUGUCCAAUGCAACUUGAUUGUUAUAAAUUCCUUCAAGUGCAUACACAAACCCCAUCCAUCCGUCUCUUACUGUAUACAGAGAUGGUGACCACUUCACAAGGUCCUUAACAAAAUCAACAUUGGAGAAUAAGAACUCAGUAAUAGGCAAUAAGGGUUAUCACCAACUUUCACAUGCCACCACAUCUUAGCAGCAUGAAUCUCCAAUGAUGCAAGAGUUGAUCCAAUGGAAGCAAGAUGGAUGUCACCAUAAGCUUGGCCCAUCAAUGCAGCAGAAUAGUAAAUAUUUACAGCUUCACUGUUGCUGUCUUGUUGCCAUGCACUUUCCCAAUGACAAAGAUCUACAUAUAAAGUCCAAGAGUGCAAUUUGUACAGAUCGAAACACCUAAGACGUGUGUAUUUGGAGUUUGAUCCUCUUGCCAAUUUCAUAAAAUUUGCCAUAAGUGAGUAGGCUUUUAGGCUUAUAUUUCAUUCCCCAAGCUGGAUCAAUCUUUGCAAGCACUGCAAUUCCAUAAAGGAAGUACCCAGCACUGUAUGCUUCAAUACUAAUCCUUCCCCAUUUUGCAUCAUAUAGAAAUCCAUUGCCAUCAAAAGUGCCAUCCAACCAUGGCUGAAUGGUUUCAUGCAAGAACUUCUUCACGGAUGGGACCACUUCAAGAAAACCAAUCUCCUCCGCUAUCAAAGCCAACCUUGCUUCCCUUGCAAUAAAUUUCCCAUAAUAGUAAGCUGAAGUUGUUGUUAUCUCAGAAGAACAAAGACCAGCUACAUCUUUGGAAAGAGCUGAUUUGAUUUCAUCAAAAGAUUCUUCUUUGACACCUCUAGUAGAAUACCAAGUCACAGGAACAUGAUCUGCUUUCAGCAACCAUGAAUCUCCGACA